CGGACGGGUGAGUAAUGUCUGGGAAACUGCCCGAUGGAGGGGGAUAACUACUGGAAACGGUAGCUAAUACCGCAUAACGUCGCAAGACCAAAGAGGGGGACCUUCGGGCCUCUUGCCAUCGGAUGUGCCCAGAUGGGAUUAGCUUGUAGGUAAGGUAACGGCUUACCUAGGCGACGAUCCCUAGCUGGUCUGAGAGGAUGAUCAGCCACACUGGGACUGAGACACGGCCCAG
rnacentral:rRNA from 1 species